ensembl:lncRNA
UAUGAACACAAAUUUUAUUUAGUCUUUUUGGACUAGAAAGAAAGUACCUAACAAGGAGUUGCAGUCCAAGAUGAGUAGAGAAAGCACUAAGACAGCAGCCUUGAGGAGUUGGAAUCACUUGGCCCAGGUGAGCACAUUCUAUGGGGUCAGGGUUCAGAAAGAACCAGCAGGUGAAAAUUCUGAGCCACUCCCAGUGAUCUUUAAAAGGGCUCCAGCAGAAUUGGAGAAGAACAAAUGAUCUAGUUUUCCUAAGAUAGAAUAAAAAGAAUCUUCAAGAUGGAGCCCUCUCCAGCCUUUCUUCCCGAGGGCCCUUCUGAGAUGAAGUAAUAUAAUGGAUGAAGCAUUGGACCUAGAAGACUGAGGUUCAAUUCUACUGUCGAAGAACUUUAGGUAUUGUGUGUGCAGUCUUAAAUGCCAUCUAAUGGAUCCUCCAUCUUUGGGAGGCGGGAGACAGGGGAGAGGAGAGGAAUACAAUUCCCACUCAUCAUUCAAAAUGCCUGUUCAGGAAUGGCCGGAAGCACGAGGCUGCAAAGGGUUUGCUGCUUCCAAACAUUUUGACUGCUUAUCUCCAGCCUCCUUCAGCUUGUUUGCAGAAUUAUUAGUGUGCCUUUUCAAACUGAAGGACUGUCUAUUUAUGACUCUUCCUCUGAAAUUAAAACCUGAGGUGUAUGAAGCAUAAACAGAAGGCCUUUCCGUGUGAGCAUGCUGAGGAGGGAUUCUGAAAACAAAUCCAAGAAGAGGGGAGAGGGAGAAAUGCAGUUGGGACAUCCCUGAGAAACAAGAACCAGACAAUCCUGAGCAUAAUGGCAGUUUUCAGAGGCAGGAAGCCAAGACAUGCAUUUCUAGGACCUCACAGCAGGCCUGGGCGGCUGUGUGUGCACGGGGAUAGAUAAAUAUAAACAAGUAACCCAUAUUCACACCAGAUUUGUGGGAAAGGCGCUGUGUAAAUGCUGUGAGAACACAAAUAAGCAUUAAUAUUAGAGCUUUCUAGCAACAGGGCUGGGAAGUACCGCAGCCACCUGUCAAUCAGGGAUGGUUUUUGAUCAUCCACGCUGACAUUCAGAGGUGCAUUGGGGAUCCAAGACUGUUAGUUUUUAAGUCUUUUCCUAUUCCAGCAUUAAAAUAUCCAUAGUAACCAAUAACAACACAGAAAUCUAUCAUUGAAAGAGACUUUGGAGGUCCUUUGGUUCAGCUCUAUCCGCAGUGAAAUCCCCCUAUGACAUCCACUGCAUGUCCUUGCUAGAAGACUCCCAAACACAGUUCAUGGCAUUGAAGAAUUUUUUCUUGUCAGGAAAUUCUUCCUUGGAUGGAGCUAAAAUCUGCCUCUUUCUUAAUUUCCACUGAUUGGUUCUAGCUUUCUUCUGUAAUCCCUUUUUCAUUUAACUGGAAUUAAAAUUUUUGGAGACCAUAAUGAUCCCAUUCCCAUUCCCUCCUUUCUCAGAGUAAUUGUUAUGUAGCAUGCUUAAAUUUUUUUUUUCAUUAUCAUCUGGGAUAUUUUCUCUUGAUCAUUUAGUUUGACAAAAUCCUUCCUAAAAAGUGGUGGCUGCAACUCCACCUUUAUAAAUGGACCAGUUGAGAGCCACUGGGAGUAAGAAUAUACUUGUUUGAAAUGUCCUAUAUCCAUUACUCCCCCAUAAUGCUGCUGAGUGUUUUGUGGCUACCAUUUUAAACUUUUGAUUAACAUCAAUUACAGUCUGAGGUAUCUUCCCCACAUACAUCAAAUUCAUCGUACCUCAACAAGCAUUAGGUGGACAAUACAAGAGAUUAUAUGCCAUGUGCACAGGCUAGAAAAUGAACAGGAACAGAAACCCUGAGAUCAGUAAAGAUAUAGCAUUCAUCUAAGUAAGACAAGGAAGAGCGUAAGGGGUAAAAGGUCAAUGCAGACAGAAUUUUCUGGGAAAUUUUGAAGAUAGAACACUUUCAGUUGGGAGGAUCAGGACAGAUUUUGUGGAGAUGUAGGUAGGGAGGUGAAGAAAGGAGAAAGUACAUAUAGAGGACAAUCUGUAAGAAGACUCAUGAGCAGGAAGAUGAGAAUAGGGAUCAGCACAAAAUCCAGUAUGUUUGGA